AUCCGCACGCGGUGCGGUUACGGUUGCGGUUGGGAUUUGAUAACCGCGGAUUACCCGCACCGUAGGACAUAUAGGGAAUUUAGUAAAUGUAUUAAGGACAAUAUGGGAAGUUGGAGUUUGAUAUAUAAACAUCUUUAGCUUUCGGUGAAACCUAAUAGCAUCAGUUUUUUUCGAGAGGAAAAGAGACCUAAUAGUCUCAGAGAAGAGACUUCGAUUCUUCUUCUUCUCUGAGUAAAUUAGUUCUCUCAUUCAUCUUCUUCUCAUCACAGAUUCACAGUAAAUAUCCUUCGAUUCAUCUUCUUCUCAUCACAGUAAAUUAGUUCUCUCAUUCAUUCUUCUUCUCUGAGCAGCAUCAGCAUCAGUAACUGUAGAUCCACGGAUUGGAGAGAAGAAUCUUCAGGAGAACAGUAUUUAAAAUCCUUGGGUAGGUGGUGAAGCUUGUAUUAUCAGUGCUACAAUUGUUUGGCAAUCUGACUAAUCCAUAUUGUUGCGAGUAGAAAGCAUUCCCUUGGUAAGGAGAAUCUGAGAGCAGAUGGCUUCAAGUACUAAGGGACCUUCUAUUCCUGUUGACGAUCCUGAUGAGAGCAUGGCUACAGUUAACCCGGCAACCGUCGAGACCUAUGGGGCAUAACUUUUUGUGUGCAAAUUUGACCUGAUCAGUUCAUUAUAGGGUCUGCGUGCAUAACUUUCUAUUAGUCUCCUUGGAAUUUGAUUAGUCAUAAUCAAUCUUAAAACUCUGGCUUGUUGUUCCUCAAUGUCGAUUGGGUCUGCGGUCUAGUUGUGAUCAGCCCUUUUAAAUGAUGCGGCAGAAAUCUUGCAGGAAAUUCCAGACAUAUCUAUCACGGAUUGAAUCCAAGGUCUCUUUUUUAGUUUUUGGCAUCAGAGAUUCAUAUGGCUUGGCACCAGACUUGUUGCAUUUGAAUUACUACUCUUUUGUGUUAGCUGUUAACUAUCUUAUGUCUAUUGUUGCUUUUGAAUUACUGAAUUAUAACUCUUUUGUGUUAAAAAAACGUCUGCACUCUAGUUUGUAACUUUCUA